rnacentral:rRNA from 1 species
AUUGAACGCUGGCGGCAGGCCUAACACAUGCAAGUCGAGCGGAUGAAGGGAGCUUGCUCCUGGAUUCAGCGGCGGACGGGUGAGUAAUGCCUAGGAAUCUGCCUGGUAGUGGGGGAUAACGUCCGGUAACGGGCGCUAAUACCGCAUACGUCCUGAGGGAGAAAGUGGGGGAUCUUCGGACCUCACGCUAUCAGAUGAGCCUAGGUCGGAUUAGCUAGUUGGUGGGGUAAAGGCCUACCAAGGCGACGAUCCGUAACUGGUCUGAGAGGAUGAUCAGUCACCCUGGAACUGAGACACGGUCCAGACUCCUACGGGAGGCCGCAGUGGGGAAUAUUGGACGAUGGGGCAAAGCCUGAUCCAGCCAAGCCGCGGGUGUGAAGAAGGUCUUCUGAUUGUAAAGCGCUUUAAGUUGGGGGGAAGGGCAGUAAGUUUAUACCUUGCGAUUUUGACGUUACCAACAGAAUAAGCACCGGCUAACUUCGUG